AAAAGCUAUCAUUUUUUUUUCAUUCUUUCUUCUUCAACCGUGGGAAAGAACAGAAAAUAGCAGCCAUGGAUGAGCUCCAUUCGUCCAAGCUUUUAUGGCUUAUAUAGAUGAUGAAAAUUGAGACUUGGACCUAGAACGGAAAGAAAUCGAUUUAUGGACGAGUAUGUCCUUUUCACAUUUGUGGUAUCGAGAGUUCCAGGUUAGCUCGGGUUGGAGGCCGUCGGAGAUAUUAUCACCCUAUCGAGUUAACGUUAUCGGAGUAACUAAACUCAAGUGAUUCGAGUCUAUGGCAUGUAUAGGGUUUUAAUGUGAGUAUGUAAUAUUAUGAUUUAGCCAAAGGCAUUGGCUUGUUAUUAAGGUAGUAUUAGUCAUGUAAAUUGGCCUAUGUCGGCUAAUGACGUUAUGGGCCCAUAUGAUUAUUCUUAUGCAUUUAUGUUAUUAUUUCUUGUGAUGUGGCUUACAACAUGUAUGCCUAGAGAUUGAAUUGAGAUUCAUUGAUGAGCUAGUAACUAAUGCAGGAUUAAGUGAUUGGUAAAUAGUUAAUAAUGCUUCAUGAAUGGUUUGUGAUGUAAUGAUAGUUAUGUCUAGUAUGUGGUAAUGAUAUGGGCAAAUUCUAUAAUAUUUAUUACAUAAGAAAAUAACUUGAGCAUAUCAUGUUUGUAGAUGUUUAAGAGCUCAUUUAUGCCACGUUGUAUGUUAUUGGAUAAGUAUGUAUCUAUGCAUGUGGUGUGAGAGUGACAAAAGGCUUGAUAAUUAGACUAUUUUUGGCCACACGGCCUGAGCACAUGGGCGUGUGAAGCCUUAACGCAAGAGAUUUUUCUAAGUUUUUCAUGAGUUCUCGAUUGGGUCCCGAACCGCCCCAAAUGCAUGUAUUGGGCCUCGUAAGCUCGCAUAAGGGACAUAUUGCAUGUGAAAAGAAAAGUUUUUAAUUAUUUGAGAUUUCAUGGCCCUGUUUAGUAUGGAAGUGUUAGUAAAAGUCAGGUAGCACCUCGAACCCCGUCCCGGCGUCGGAUGCGGGCGAGGGGUGUUACAUCCACUCUUCCAUUGUCGUAUUUUAUGCGUACACAUAUUACCCCAUAUCAUCGUUUUCCCACUUGGUUUAUGAAAUGUGGUUUUAUAAAAUCCAAAUUUUUAUGAUUCAUUUCGUCUUAUUUCGAGACGCAUUAAUAUGUUUUAAGUUAUUUUUAUAAUUAUUCGUUUAAAAAUUUCUUUAAAACGAAGGCGAGAUUUGAUAUUUGACAAUUCGCGGAAUCGUGCCCUAACGUGCUGGGUUGCAAUAUCUCAUUUGUUCAAAAUAAUCGAAUAUCCCUUCAAAAUUCCAUUUAUGUCUUCUAAAAAUCCUUUAAAACGAGGGCGAUGUUCGAUAUUUGACAAUUCGCGGAAUCAUGCCCUAUCGUGCUGGGUUGCAAUUUCUCGAUUGUUUAAAAUAAUCGAAGGUCCCUUUUGAAUUUCACUCAUGUUUUCUAAAAACUCUUCAAAACAAAGGUAAUAUUCGAUGUUUGGCCAUUCGGGGAAUCGUGCCCUAUCGUGCUGGGUUGCGAUCUCCUGUUUGUCCAAAAUGAUCGAAGAUUCCUUUAGAAUUUCACUCAUUCUUUCUAAAUUCUAAAAUAAGGCAAUGUCUGAUAUCUAGAAAUUCGAGGAGCCGUGCCCUACUGUGCUGGGUUUCAACUUUUUUGUUGGACUAAAUAAUUGGGCAUCCUUCUGCGGUUUUCAACGUAUAAAUUUUUGGAAGUCAAAAUUUGUCAUGUUUUCGAGAGCAUAAAGGACCAUGUCCUAUCGUGCUGGAUGUGGUGAUAUAUUCCUCUUAAACAAGAGAAUUUUGAUAACCAACUCGGGUUAUUCAAAUAUUACCAAAAGGGAACCACAUUUCAAAAACAUUUUUUAAAUCUUAGACAUAAGGACAGUAUUUAAUCGAUUUGGUACCAAUUUUGGGCGUAGUGAGGGUGCUAAUCUUUCCUCAUGCGUAACUGACUCCCAAACCCGUUUUCUCAAAAAUUCGUAGACCAAAAUCGUUGUUUUAGUAAACUAAAAAUGUUUUAUUAAAAUAACCUCAUUCUUAGGUGAUCCGAUCACACCAAAAAAAAAAAGAUCGGUGGCGACUCCAUGUCUUAUUUUCAAAAGUCGAUCCCCCCUGUUUUUCUCAUUAAAUCUAAUUUUUUUUUAAAAAAAAGGGAGAUGGUUUCGAUAGCUUGGCGACUCCGCUGGGGAAUCGAGAGUCAAGCCAUAAAAUUGAUUGUCUACUGUCCUUUUGUCAAAAAUUCAAAAUUUAUUUUAAAAAUCACGUGUCUUUCAAAUGCAUUUGUUUGUAUGGUUGUUAUGGUCCAGGUCUUGUAGAAUAAUACUGCAUUUCAUUGCAUCAUCGCUAUGGUCACACCUUCUAAGUGGGAGUAAGAAACUAUACUUUCGUGAGGUUUUCACCUUCGCAUGGGUUAGUGGAUUGCUUCCGGGGUACAUCCGUACCUAUGAUUUCGUGAGAUUUUCAUCUUCGCAUGGUCAUAGUGUAAUGAACCGAAAGUUACGGUAUCGGAAAUUGAGUCUUGAGUACUGUUUCCGUGAAAUUUAUUCAUGAAUAUUUAUUAGAAAUAUUUAUGAAUUAUAGUUGAAUGGUUAUUUAGUGUUUAAUUAAGUGAAGUAGCUUGAAUUUAGUUUAAAGGAUUAAAUUGCAUAAGGAAUAAAAGUUUAAUUAUAGAUUAAAGAAGUAAAAGGGACUAAUCUAGCAAUUAGACCCUAAGUGCCAUGUGUGUGAAUGUAUGAUAUAACAUGUGUAAUAGUUGGUAUAUAUGUGUAAUAGCUAUAAGAUAUUUUAUGUUAUAGCUAUUACACAUGUUAAUUUAUAUUUUUUAUAGGUUAAUAAUAAUAUAAUAUAGUAUAAUGAAUAAAUAAUAAUGAGUAAAGAAACAUAGAAAGAGUUACAGAGAGCAAACGUGAGAAAGAAAGAAGGAAAGAAAGAAAGAAAAAGAAAAGGGAAAUUUGAGGAUUAAGGCCCUAAAGUUUAAUUGUAGCAAACGUAGCACCGGAUACGUCAUCAAAGAAGGGAAAAGAGAAAGUGAACGAAGAUAUCGAUUAAAUUCGAUAAAUAGUGGUUUGUAUUUCUAUAAACCGAGCUUAAUCGUUAUUGCUAUAUUUGAUAUUUAUAUUGUAUGAAAAUGUGAAUGA